UACUUAAUUUUAAUCUGUCAAAAGAAAACAGAAAAACAGGCUCAAUCCCGGAACGGGACCAUGUGUGCGCCUAGGCUGUCCCUCGCAAUGGGCCGAGCCGCACUGCGGCGCGCAGAAUUUGUGGAGGCAACGCGCCAAAAAAAAUGGAGGGGGCAGAGGAGGGGCGGAGCGCCGCCGGCCACACCAACAUCUCGUCGACCACGGGAGGGGCGGCGCGGCUACACCAAGAUCUCGGCGACCACAAGAGGGGCGGCGCGUCUCCACUGCCUUCUAGCCACACGGGCGGUCCGGCAACUCCAGAUUUUCCGCGGCGACUCCUCCAGCGACCACGACGGUGACCCCUUUUUCCUUUUCAAUCCCGGUUUAACUCCUGAUUCGGCUCCCCUCCUGGCUCUCUUGUAGGGCGUUCGUCAUGGUGGUUUUCUGCUCCCUCUCGGGCUCUGGGUACUCUUCCCUUGCCUAUGCAAACCGAGUCCGGCUGGGAGUCAGCCCGAGGCUCUCACUUCAUAAAUAAGAGGAGGGAUUCGAAGACCUCUCAUUUCAUCGCCAGGACUACCCAAUACAAGUAAAGCAAUUUGUUCGAUCAGUCAACAGUUAGUGAAUAAGGAUGUUGAUUAAUGUGAGGGAUUCACUUGCUGCUCAAUAUGAACUUGCCUAAUAAGUGAUUGCACUAUGAACCACUCGUGGACAACGAGAAACAAGUAGCUGCGGUUCGCCCAAUAUGCCUCCAAGCCAUACACUGUGUAGUACUGCAAGAAGAAGCAAAAUGACAAAUUGCCUAGCAGAAUUGUAGCCUGGAGCUAGGUGGUAAUUCUGAAGCCUGUCCCCUCAUGGCGUUGCUCAGACUUGAAUUGCUGCGUGAAUCAAGAUGGUGAUCAAUGCCGAGGAUUUACUUGCUGCUCAACUAUUUACAUGUGAAGCUUGGCUAACUAGUGGUGGAACUAUCAACAACUCAAGGACUGAGAAAGUAGCCGUGGUUCGCCCAGUAUGAAGUUUUGUAUACCUGGAAGGAGUAUACAUCCGUUGAACGUAUCGGACAUGACGGAAAAGCAUGACGACGGUCAUUUUCUCCUACAGGCUGUGGUCUUGCCAAGCGCCUCAAGCAGGGCACUGCAGCAGAAGAAGAUAUCUUAUAUGAUAUGUCGGGUUGAUAUAAGUUAUUAUGGUAUGGACUGAACUGGGAGAAGAAAGCAGUUAAAUAGCCCAAUUUUAAAUAAAUGUCUUAUGUGAAGCUGAGAUGAAAGGGGUAAGGGGUCAAAGUUGCUAGCAUUGGACUCCUAAAUCAGGCCCAGAUCGAGCCUGAUUAAGCCUCGCGCCCGCUUGCUGGGGCGCACACGGCUUGAGCCGUGAGUUCCUUGUUUCUAGCUGGAGGUCAGUGCCCGCGGCGCCAAAGCCCCAUCGUUGAAGCCAAUUUGAUCACACUGCCUGGGGCCUGGGCUGCGCCUGCUUCUGCGAGCAGUUUAGUUCGCUGUCUAUUGAACAUUGUACUGUGUGUUUUUACAUGCUAGCUAGUGCCAAUGCCACCGUCGGUUUGGGGGCUGUUUUUCUUGGAUUUCCCUCAGUGUUGUUGCUUGAUCACAAAAAACUGAGCUUAAAUAGUUUUGACGAUGCAAAGGUUGGAUGCAGAUUCUUUCUUUCUUUCAACGUAUGCAGAGAGAUUUCUACUGCUGGGUGUAUGUAUUAUUAUAUAAUGUAUCAGACCCCGAGUUUGCAUUUUGCUGUGCAGAAGGAAGGAAGGGCGCCUGCCUUGUUUGCAUAUCUCCGGAAGGAAAUGCUCUGCUCCAAAAAAGGAGGAUCAUAUUUCUCUGUUUAUUUUUCGUUGAGCGCCGGUGUUGGUCUUGUCGUGUUAAAGUUUGCAUUGUAUUGUAUUGUGUGGCCGACUUAAUAAGUAAACAAAAGAGAGACGUUGGCUGGUUGGCCC